AAUUGCUUGCGGGACACAUGUGGAUACCAAAAUUAGUGGAUGCUCAAGUCCAGUAGAAGAAAUGGAGUACUAUUUCCAUAUAAUCUAUGCAUAUCCUCCCUUACACUUUAAAUCAUGUCUUGAUUAUUUAUAAUAGCAAAUAUAAUGUAAAUGUGCUAUAAAUAGUUAUUAUUCUGUACUUUUUGUGUGUACUUUUAAAAUUGACUUAUUUUUAAUUUUCUUUAAAUACUUUUGAUUUGCAGUUGGUUGAAUCUGAGGCUAUGAAAGCUACAGACGUACUCAGAAAUACACUAUCUUUAUGAUGUCUUUUAAUUUUCAUAGUGUACUUUGAAUACACCAUUACAUCUGCUUUGAAUAUAUUUUUAUAGAAUUAUGACCUUUGAACUGUUGGACAUUUCUUAUUUUCUUGAUUUGACAAGUUCAGUGUUAACAGAAUGCCUGAUCAGGUUUCAGUUUUAAAAGCCAUCUCUUCAGGGGAUGGCUUUGCCAGGAAAAGUCCUUCAAUAGCAGCCUGGCCAAAGAUUCUGGGCAAAUAAGUUGGCUGGGUCCAUGGGCAAUCAAGAUUCUGGGACCUGCAAUCAAACUUGCUGCUGGCGUUUAAAUAACUAUCUUGGAAUUUUACUGAGUUUAUAAGCCUGCAAAUAAGUUUACUGAUAUAACGAAAGUCAGGAGGGACAACAUCUGAGCAAGAUAAAUCUGAGGCUACCAGCGGGAUGUUACACUCGGUCUACUGACUCACAUGCAUCUUCUCCAAGAACACCCUCACAGACACACCUGGAGAAGCUCAAGCAUUCUAAUCAAAAUGAAAACCACCUGGAAUUCUCUUUCAACAGAAGAGGAAUGGGUUCCGUUCCUAUUGAAGCAUUGAGAAUAAAUAACCCUUUACCAGCUACCUGAGUAUUCCUUCAUUCAGUCAAGUUUCAUCCAAAAUCAACUGUUGCAACUUAUUCUGAAAUGUUCAACUAGCUUUACACUCUUUAGAUUAGGUCCUGCUUGUUCAUGAUAUAUUGUACUUUUGUAUAGAGCUAGAUUUUAUUUAAAAUACUGUGAAGUUUGUUUGAGGCUGAGGUGGGAGAAUCAAUGAGCCCAGGAGGUUGAGGGUGCAGUGAACCGUGAUUGUGCCACUGUGCUGUCCCCUGGUAACAGAGUGAGACCCUGGCUCAAAUAAAUAAAUAAACAAACAAACAAAUAAAUAAAUAAAUAAAAUUUCUACAUUGUAGCAAAAAAACAAAUAGAAAUUGAAAUCCAAAAUUGUAUAUAUAAUUUAAAUUUGAAUUAAAAAGCACAAAGGGCUUACAAAUUUUAAUAAUUUUUGUGUAAGACUAGCACACUAAAAAUUAUGAAAUAAUACUGAAAGAAAGGGUGAUAUAAAUAAAUGCAGAGAUU